CCAUUGGCUCAUCUGAGGCCCGGCCCGGCCUGUUGACUCUGGCCUCCUAUCUGAAGGCUGAACCCCCCACCCCGCCGCCCGCCCCAGGACCGAGGAGAGGGGCUCAGCUCUCUGCCCUCUGGGCUCGGGACCCCUGGGCUAUGAUGUGUAUGAGGGUCCUGGAAGCCUGCUCAGAUGUGCGGUGCCCACCCCGCCGCACACAAGACGAGCUGUCGCGUCAAGCACACAGCCGAGUGAAGCCAGACCCAUGGCCGAGAGGCUCCGGCCAGCAGCUGGUGGACUUGCCCCAUGGUGUCCGCUACUGCUGAGCGCUUCGUGGCAGAAGGGCCCAGGCCUGUGUGUUGUCACCUGGGGUGGGGUUGGGGCCAGACAUGGGGACCCAAAGUCCCGAGCCAGCCGUCCUCCGGGGCCCCUUUCCUGGGACACGGGGAUUGUGGGGCCCCCUCUCAUUCUCCGAAGCCACCCUUGUCCCCAAGAGCCUGGAGUCCUGGAGCCUGGGCGCCCUUCGGGGCAGCCUGGUGCUUCCUGAUAGAAAUGAGGAGACCCACCCAGUUAGCAGAGCCAGUCCCAAGACGGGUCGGGGCAAGCACUCCACGGCUGCCUGCCUCUCUGAACCUGACACGGUCCCCACGCGGUGGCCUGGCAGAGGUGGGGGGGACGCCCCCAGCCUGGCCUCUGCUCCCAGUGACCCCUGCACCUGUGUUCUCAGCAGUACACAGGGCAGGGGAGCUGACCCCCAGAGGGCUGCAGCGAAGAUUAGCAAAAGCCACACCUGGCAGUGCCUGGCACAAGUGCCCAGCGCAUAGUAGGUGACCGGUAAAGGCCACCGCUCGCCAGCCAGAAUGUGCCGUGGCUUCUGCGGGCUGCUUGGGGGAGGCAGUGGGAAGUGGCUAUCUCAGCGUGGGUGGGGGGAGAGGAAGGCGCCUGAAAAGACAUUUCAAACUUCAGGUCCUGAGGAUGCCCCCAGCCUGCAAGGUCACGGUUCCUGGUGCUGACCCCACUACCUGCUGGCCAGGGGAGGGGGGUGGGAGGAGGGGCACCGACCAAGGAGAACCAGAAGAUUCCUGGAAAGUCAUUUCUCUGAGCCCAGAAGGGCACCCCCCCCCCAACACAGUCAGACUCCAGCAGAAGCCAGGGGUAGGGGUGGCUCUUCAUGCCUCCUCCCCCACACCGCCCCCACCAGGCCUGGCUGGGAGUCAGCAUGGUGGCCAAGAGCCCAGACCUGGAUCCAUCCCACCCUCGGGUAUCUCACACGCUAAGGGACCCCGGGGUCCUGGUUUCUUUGUGAAAUGAAUCCGCUGUUUCCAUGCAAUCAGCAAGUCCACAGUGUGCCUACUGCCUGCCGGGCCCCGUGCUAGGCACUCAGAUGAGCCCAGAUUUGCACCUACAACUGUUUGCCCAGGUGCCGUG
rnacentral:lncRNA from 1 species